AUGUUGGAGCAGGUGAAGGCGAUCCGAGCCGCCAGCCAAGCCGCUUACGACGCGAGUUCAGCUCUUCAGAGCAAUGUCCAGAAAUCUUGUUACCUUGUUUCUCGUUAUACUGAGUUGGAGAACAAGCAUAUCCAGCUUGAACUUGAUCUGAAGCUUGCCCAGGAGAACUUCACGAAGUCGAAGGAGGAGGCAAAAGAUAAACUGAAGGAUGCUCUGAAGAAGAAGGACCUUGACCUUGCCGAGGCGCAGAAAGCGGCUUCGGACAAGACAAAGCUUGCCGAAGAUAAGUUGACUUCGAUAAGCAAACUUGAAGAGGAGAAUGCCACUCUGAAAGCUGCACUUGACGCGGCCAACAAGGAGGUCACCCAACAGAAGCGUGAGAAGAUAGCCCUGAGUGACAAAGCUAGCGAACUGGCGGGACAAAAGAACGACUUGGAGGCUUAUCUGGGAGGGCUCGCCAAGAAGUUAUUCCUCAUGCUCGAAGAAUUCUGCCAAAACUUUGAAGAGGAGACUAGUCGAGUGGAAACUGGCUUGGAUCCCAUCAACUCUCCAAUGAAAGAUGAAGCCGCUAUGAACGUGCUCCGCCUCGAGUCUCGUGUUGCUGCAGUGGUCGACUACCUUGCAAGACUGAAGGCUGCAACAUCGCGCAUCGACACAUCACUCUGGCCAGAAGAAACACUUCAGAACGACCUCGAGUCUCUGAUGACUCGACUGAACGAAGUUCCAAGUCGAGUGCAAGAAUGGAAGAAGUCUUCUACCAGGUGUGGUGCCGAUGUUGCACUGUCCUUAGUCCGCGCCCACUUCAAGGAAGCGAGAGAAGACAAGCUGGUGUCUCUCAAGGUGGCCAAUACCAGGAAGCAUGACUUCCGUUCUUUCAUGGAGACCUUCAUUGCUGCUGCCACUCGGAUCGCAGACGGGAUCGACCUGGACGAGUUUGUUGCGCCUUCCAGCCCUGCGCAGGAGGGGUAA
rnacentral:rRNA from 1 species